UAAAGAUCCGUCGGAUGAGGAUAGGCUCGCGUGACAUUAGCUAGACGGCGGGGUAACGGGCCACCGUGGCGACGAUGUCUAGGGGUUCUGAGAGGAAGGUCCCCCACACUGGAGCUGAGACACGGUCCAGACUCCUACGGGAGGCAGCAGUGAGGAAUAUUGGUCAAUGGCCGGAAGGCUGAACCAGCCAUGCCGCGUGAAGGUCAGUGCCCUAUGGGCGUUAAACUUCUUUUGUGCGGGAGCAAUAAGGGCCACGCGUGGCCUGACGAGAGUACCGUACGAAUAAGCAUCGGCUAACUCCGUGCCAGCAGCCGCGGUAAUACGGGGGAUGCAAGCGUUAUCCGGAUUUAUUGGGUUUAAAGGGUGCGUAGGCUGUGAGGUAAGUCAGCGGUGAAAUGCCCCCGCUCAACGGGGUGAAGUGCCAUUGAUACUGCCUUGCUGGAAUGCGGAUGCCGUGGGAGGAAUGUGUGGUGUAGCGGUGAAAUGCAUAGAUAUCACACAGAACACCGAUUGCGAAGGCAUCUCACGAAUCCGCGGUUGACGCUGAUGCACGAAAGCGUGGGUAUCAAACAGGAUUAGAUACCCUGGUAGUCCACGCUGUAAACGAUGAUGACUAACCGUCGGCGAUACACAGUCG
rnacentral:rRNA from 1 species